rnacentral:rRNA from 1 species
CCUACGGGUGGCAGCAGUAGGGAAUCUUUCACAAUGGGCGAAAGCCUGAUGGAGCAACGCCGCGUGCAGGAUGAAGGCCUUCGGGUUGUAAACUGCUUUUAUAAGCGAGAAAUAUGAUGGUAACUUAUGAAUAAGGAUCGGCUAACUACGUGCCAGCAGCCGCGGUCAUACGUAGGAUCCGAGCAUUAUCCGGAGUGACUGGGUGUAAAGAGUUGCGUAGGUGGGAUAAUAAGUAGCUAGUGAAAUCUGGUGGCUCAACCAUUCAGACUAUUAGCUAAACUGUUAAGCUCGAGACCGUUAGGGGUAACUGGAAUUUCUAGUGUAGGGGUGAAAUCCGUAGAUAUUAGAAGGAACACCAAUAGCGUAGGCAGGUUGCUGGGACGGUUCUGACACUAAGGCACGAAAGCGUAGGGAGCAAACGGGAUUAGAGACCCGAGUAGUU